rnacentral:rRNA from 1 species
GACGAACGCUGGCGGCGUGCUUAACACAUGCAAGUCGAACGGAAGGGCCCUGCUUUUGUGGGGUGCUCGAGUGGCGAACGGGUGAGUAACACGUGAGUAACCUGCCCUUGACUUUGGGAUAACUUCAGGAAACUGGGGCUAAUACCGGAUAGGAGCUCCUGCUGCAUGGUGGGGGUUGGAAAGUUUCGGCGGUUGGGGAUGGACUCGCGGCUUAUCAGCUUGUUGGUGGGGUAGUGGCUUACCAAGGCUCUGACGGGUAGCCGGCCUGAGAGGGUGACCGGCCACAUUGGGACUGAGAUACGGCCCAGACUCCUACGGGAGGCAGCAGUGGGGAAUAUUGCACAAUGGGCGGAAGCCUGAUGCAGCAACGCCGCGUGCGGGAUGACGGCCUUCGGGUUGUAAACCGCUUUCGCCUGUGACGAAGCGUGAGUGACGGUAAUGGGUAAAGAAGCACCGGCUAACUACGUG